AAAAUAAAUGGCUUCCCCAUACAUAUUUCUGGCACAGUUACUAACAAAAUCACAGAACAAGAUCAAACAAUGCAAAGAGAAUUGCAGCAGAAAUGAUCAAUUAGAUGAAAAUAUUGCUCCACACUGUUAAAGAUGCAGUGACACAUAAGGUAGUAUUAUUACAGUGAAGCACCUGGUGUCACAAGAUAAAAACAUGCAAAACACUCUCCCACCUGUGACUCAUCUCUGCUGUCAUACCACGCCUCCCAACACAGAAAAAGACUGAGUCUGGUCUCUCAGUGUUAUCAGAACACAAUGAUGUUCACAGCUGCUCUCAUCAAACUCUCUGCAGCUUUGCUCUGGUUUGGAGGUCUAACUGAUGGGAGUGAUGUCUCCCAGACUCCUCUGCUAUGGAAGUCAGAGGGUCAGUCUGCCACAAUGACCUGCAAUCACACUAAGAGUUUUGAUUACAGACAGAUGUAUUGGUAUCAACAGCUGCCAGGACAGAAAAUAAAGCAAAUCGUUUUCACAGCUCCAAACACCCAGCAUACUUAUGAAACUGGCUUCAGUGAGGAAAAGUUUCCAGCAACAAAGAGCAGUUAUGAGACUGGAUCUCUGACAGUGGAGAAGCUGGUGCCUGGAGACAAUGGAGUGUAUUUCUGUGCUGUGAGUAAACACAGUGAUGCAGGUGGAUUAAAGAGCUGCACAAAUACCCAGACUAUGGUUUCACAAUGAACUGAAGACAUCAGUGUGUUUGAUUAUCUGUAGGGGGCGCUCAAUGCUCAUUAUUCAGAUUUACAGUCAUACUAAGCAAUAUCUGCAGUAACAAAGGGUAUGCAAUGAGAAAACUCCUCUGCAAUCUGGAAGCAUAAUUUUCUUGUACUGCUACAGUCAGAAUGAACAGAAAAAUGAGCAUAAAUGCAAACACAAAUCAC